ACAACCCUUUGUCAUAGAUUUGCUCAAAGAAAAUUAGGGUUUUGUUAGUAUGAAGAGUGAAACUACAAGUCAUAGUAGUACUUCACCACAAAGUAUGGGCCAAUCCAAAUUUCUCAAAAAGAAAUGUUAAAACCUUUACAAACCCUCAGAAGAAAGUGAACUCAACGUUAUAUAUACCCUUUAAUUUCCACUGUUUUUAUCUCUACAUGCCACCAUUCUCUCUCUCUCUCCUCAGAAUAGCUUAAAACACAAAAUUGAUAUGUCUCUCUUGGUUGAGGCUUAGAUCUACGAGGCUUGUUAAUUAGAUCCUUCUUUUAGUUUUUAUUUUUUUAAUUUUUUUUUUAUACAUGUUUUCCUAUUUCUUGAUCUAUUGAAAUGAUUGUGACUCCUAUUUAUCUUUUACAAGGAGGAGAAGUUCUUGAUAGCUUUUUAUUUAAUUUAGUUUUGGAGUCUUGAUAUAGUACUAUUUGUUCUUAUGGAUAGUUUUAAUUAUUUCUUGUUGGAUUAAUUAAAUCAACUUGAUCCAUCUGAAAUAGUGAAAAAAUUAUGACCCGAAAACCAAGAAUUUAAAAGUAUUGUAAGUCUUGCUUCUGAUCUCAAAAUUUUAGAUGAAACACUAUUUUCCUUUUUGAAGAAUAGAGGCUUUUGAUAUCAAAGAUGUAGUGAUUUUGAUCAAUCCUGAAUUAUAGGGUUUAUGGUUAUUGACCAUGGAUCAAGUGAUACAGUCGCUGUUUGCAGCUGCAGCAUCAUGAAGAUUCACAUGCAAAGGCAAGGUGGUGUGACGAUACAGUGGCGGAUCUAGACUAGAUGAUUCUAAACUUGGAUUCGCCGUUUGACAAUGAAAGUGAGAAUCUUGAUGAUGCUGCAUCAGCAAUAAAGGACUAACUGACCAUUCAAGGGGUGUCAAAUUCUUCAUCGGAAAAUUAAACUGUAUAUUUAGUGUGUGUAUAUAUACACACACUAAGUAUUGAUUCCCUUUGGGUUCUCCUUGAAUUUACGCUUUUAUAUUUUAACCAACCCUAGUUAUCGGGGUAUGCUAGCUUAUUUUUCGCACUUUGCAGAAAAGAGAAGCUCAGUCACAUACUUGGAAGUACAACUAGUUUGCUCCUUUUUAUAUCCAUUGAGGAAGACGAUGUUUCCUCCUAUGUCGUCUUUAAUUAGACGAUGUUUCCUCCUAUUUCGUCUUAAUUCUAUUGUUAAUCUUUUGAGUGCACAAUUUUUUUUUGUCAGGUGAGCAUCUGGUACUUGUAAGCCUCAAGCCAUAUUUUAAACUCUUUUUUAUCUGGUCAUGUCAUCAUAUAUUUGAAAUUCAUUACCUCCAACUAAUUAAGUUGGAUUCUCACCAUAUAUAGGGCUUAUUAAGGGAAAAUUGUUUCCAAUGAGGAGUUUCUUUCCGGCUUUUAACCCUAAGAAGAUCUUUGAUUAAUUAAGAACGAAGGGAUUACAUCCAUUCUAUCACUCUCGGGUCAUUAAGUAGGCGGUUGGACAUGAUUAGUUGGAGAUUGGAAAAAAAAGUAAAACUGAAGUUGGAACAAGAUACUGCUCGUUGAAGACUAAUGGAAAUGACCCUGCAGUUGCAGAAGGAUGACGACAGCACAGAUCUGUGAUUAUUUUCUCCAGUUAAAAGAUUUUAAUGGCAGAAGAGACGGAGGAGGGUGAGAGCCGGUGGCGGCUCCAUUUUCUCCAGCGAGCAAGGUUGGUCAUUUGAAAGGACAAGGGUAGAAAACGAGGUGGUGUGUGGAGGAGAAGAUGGCCGGAGAAAGAAGGGGAAGGAGAAGUGUGGGUGGCGACAGAUCUGGAUGGUGGUGGUGUCAGCGGUCGUCGAAGGUUGAGUCUGCCAGUCGCUGGUGGUCAGCUCCGGCGAGGCAAAGAAUUAUACAAGUGGAGGAGAAGGAGGCGGUGGGAGGAGGGGGGGUUCAUUUUAAUUUUUUUAAGUUAAAAUCCACAUGUCAUUAUUUUAUUGGUCAUUUUGACGUGUGAAUUACACACACCUGUGUUGUUUGGCUGCAUAUUACCUUUGUGUCUAAAUGGCACCGCAAAAGUGGUCUUUGAGGGUUCAGAUGGUACAAGUCUCGGUUGGAGGGUCUAAAUGGAAUUUCUGGACAAGUUCGAGGGUCUGUCGAUGAUUUAAGCUUUUGUUUUAAUUUAAUUAGCACUUGAACACAUGAUAAAGAGUUUUUAUUAGACAUUUUCAAUUCAAAUUUUGGAAAA